rnacentral:rRNA from 1 species
CAGCAGCCGCGGGAAUACGAAGGGGGCUAGCGUUGCUCGGAAUGACUGGGCGUAAAGGGCGCGUAGGCGGCUGACACAGUCAGAUGUGAAAUUCCUGGGCUCAACCUGGGGACUGCAUUUGAGACGUGUUGGCUUGAGUGGAGAAGAGGGUCGUGGAAUUUCCAGUGUAGAGGUGAAAUUCGUAGAUAUUGGAAAGAACACCGGUGGCGAAGGCGGCGACCUGGUCUUUAACUGACGCUGAGGCGCGAAAGCGUGGGGAGCAAACAGGAUUAGAGACCCCUGUAGUCCCUGUCUCUUAUAC